rnacentral:rRNA from 1 species
UACGUAGGGCGCAAGCGUUAUCCGGAAUUAUUGGGCGUAAAGAGCUCGUAGGCGGUUUGUCGCGUCUGCCGUGAAAGUCCGGGGCUCAACUCCGGAUCUGCGGUGGGUACGGGCAGACUAGAGUGAUGUAGGGGAGACUGGAAUUCCUGGUGUAGCGGUGAAAUGCGCAGAUAUCAGGAGGAACACCGGUGGCGAAGGCGCUGCUCUGGGCCGGUACUGACGCUGAGGAGCGAAAGCGUGGGUAGCAAACAGG